AGGCCAGACUCCUACGGGAGGCAGCAGUGGGGAAUAUUGCACAAUGGGGGAAACCCUGAUGCAGCGACGCCGCGUGAAGGAUGAAGUAUUUCGGUAUGUAAACUUCUAUCAGCAGGGAAGAAAAUGACGGUACCUGACUAAGAAGCCCCGGCUAACUACGUGCCAGCAGCCGCGGGAAUACGUAGGGGGCAAGCGUUAUCCGGAUUUACUGGGUGUAAAGGGAGCGUAGACGGCAGCGCAAGUCUGGAGUGAAAUGCCGGGGCCCAACCCCGGAACUGCUUUGGAAACUGUGCAGCUAGAGUGCGGGAGAGGUAAGCGGAAUUCCUAGUGUAGCGGUGAAAUGCGUAGAUAUUAGGAGGAACACCAGUGGCGAAGGCGGCUUACUGGACCGUAACUGACGUUGAGGCUCGAAAGCGUGGGGAGCAAACAGGAUUAGAUACCCCGGUAGC
rnacentral:rRNA from 1 species